rnacentral:lncRNA from 1 species
UUGGUGGAAGAUGUAAUUAAUAAAGCAUUUAAAGAUAAGACUGUAAUUAAUGCAAUCUUACUGACAAGGGGAUUGCAAUUUCAGACUGGGACACAUAGUUGACAGGGAGUAACCAGGAGCAAUCUGUUCAAAACUGUGGGACAGAAGGAGGAACUUCCGAAUUCAGUGAUGAGUUUUCAGCACUACUAAGUAAGAACAGGAGCUCCCAGCAACAUCACUUUGGACAUCCGAGCACAUGGACAGAACGUGGUGAAGGAGCCCUGGGGAGGGAGGGCAAUGGAGAAGACCUGCCCAAUAUUUCACCACUUUCUCGUGCAGGGCUGUCCUUUCCCUGAUGCUGCAGCUUGAUGCCCUGACCAAUAGAAGCCCCUGCUGUAAGAUCCAAAGACAAAUGGAGAAGCAGUUCCCAAACCUGGAGAGAAGUCCUGUUUGACCAACAGUCAGGUAACAGCCCUGACAGAACGUGUCAACAUGGUGCUGUAG